rnacentral:rRNA from 1 species
AGCGUACACGGUGGAUGCCCUGGCAGUCAGAGGCGAUGAAGGACGUGCUAAUCUGCGAUAAGCGUCGGUAAGGUGAUAUGAACCGUUAUAACCGGCGAUUUCCGAAUGGGGAAACCCAGUGUGAUUCGUCACACUAUCAUUAACUGAAUCCAUAGGUUAAUGAGGCGAACCGGGGGAACUGAAACAUCUAAGUACCCCGAGGAAAAGAAAUCAACCGAGAUUCCCCCAGUAGCGGCGAGCGAACGGGGAGCAGCCCAGAGCCUGAAUCAGUGUGUGUGUUAGUGGAAGCGUCUGGAAAGGCGCGCGAUACAGGGUGACAGCCCCGUACACAAAAAUGCACAUACUGUGAGCUCGAUGAGUAGGGCGGGACACGUGGUAUCCUGUCUGAAUAUGGGGGGACCAUCCUCCAAGGCUAAAUACUCCUGACUGACCGAUAGUGAACCAGUACCGUGAGGGAAAGGCGAAAAGAACCCCGGCGAGGGGAGUGAAAAAGAACCUGAAACCGUGUACGUACAAGCAGUGGGAGCACAGAGCAAUCUGUGUGACUGCGUACCUUUUGUAUAAUGGGUCAGCGACUUAUAUUCUGUAGCAAGGUUAACCGAAUAGGGGAGCCGAAGGGAAACCGAGUCUUAACUGGGCGUUAAGUUGCAGGGUAUAGACCCGAAACCCGGUGAUCUAGCCAUGGGCAGGUUGAAGGUUGGGUAACACUAACUGGAGGACCGAACCGACUAAUGUUGAAAAAUUAGCGGAUGACUUGUGGCUGGGGGUGAAAGGCCAAUCAAACCGGGAGAUAGCUGGUUCUCCCCGAAAGCUAUUUAGGUAGCGCCUCGUGAAUUCAUCUCCGGGGGUAGAGCACUGUUUCGGCAAGGGGGUCAUCCCGACUUACCAACCCGAUGCAAACUGCGAAUACCGGAGAAUGUUAUCACGGGAGACACACGGCGGGUGCUAACGUCCGUCGUGAAGAGGGAAACAACCCAGACCGCCAGCUAAGGUCCCAAAGUCAUGGUUAAGUGGGAAACGAUGUGGGAAGGCCCAGACAGCCAGGAUGUUGGCUUAGAAGCAGCCAUCAUUUAAAGAAAGCGUAAUAGCUCACUGGUCGAGUCGGCCUGCGCGGAAGAUGUAACGGGGCUAAACCAUGCACCGAAGCUGCGGCAGCGACGCUUAUGCGUUGUUGGGUAGGGGAGCGUUCUGUAAGCCUGCGAAGGUGUGCUGUGAGGCAUGCUGGAGGUAUCAGAAGUGCGAAUGCUGACAUAAGUAACGAUAAAGCGGGUGAAAAGCCCGCUCGCCGGAAGACCAAGGGUUCCUGUCCAACGUUAAUCGGGGCAGGGUGAGUCGACCCCUAAGGCGAGGCCGAAAGGCGUAGUCGAUGGGAAACAGGUUAAUAUUCCUGUACUUGGUGUUACUGCGAAGGGGGGACGGAGAAGGCUAUGUUGGCCGGGCGACGGUUGUCCCGGUUUAAGCGUGUAGGCUGGUUUUCCAGGCAAAUCCGGAAAAUCAAGGCUGAGGCGUGAUGACGAGGCACUACGGUGCUGAAGCAACAAAUGCCCUGCUUCCAGGAAAAGCCUCUAAGCAUCAGGUAACAUCAAAUCGUACCCCAAACCGACACAGGUGGUCAGGUAGAGAAUACCAAGGCGCUUGAGAGAACUCGGGUGAAGGAACUAGGCAAAAUGGUGCCGUAACUUCGGGAGAAGGCACGCUGAUAUGUAGGUGAAGUCCCUCGCGGAUGGAGCUGAAAUCAGUCGAAGAUACCAGCUGGCUGCAACUGUUUAUUAAAAACACAGCACUGUGCAAACACGAAAGUGGACGUAUACGGUGUGACGCCUGCCCGGUGCCGGAAGGUUAAUUGAUGGGGUCAGCGCAAGCGAAGCUCUUGAUCGAAGCCCCGGUAAACGGCGGCCGUAACUAUAACGGUCCUAAGGUAGCGAAAUUCCUUGUCGGGUAAGUUCCGACCUGCACGAAUGGCGUAAUGAUGGCCAGGCUGUCUCCACCCGAGACUCAGUGAAAUUGAACUCGCUGUGAAGAUGCAGUGUACCCGCGGCAAGACGGAAAGACCCCGUGAACCUUUACUAUAGCUUGACACUGAACAUUGAGCCUUGAUGUGUAGGAUAGGUGGGAGGCUUUGAAGUGUGGACGCCAGUCUGCAUGGAGCCGACCUUGAAAUACCACCCUUUAAUGUUUGAUGUUCUAACGUUGACCCGUGAUCCGGGUUGCGGACAGUGUCUGGUGGGUAGUUUGACUGGGGCGGUCUCCUCCUAAAGAGUAACGGAGGAGCACGAAGGUUGGCUAAUCCUGGUCGGACAUCAGGAGGUUAGUGCAAUGGCAUAAGCCAGCUUGACUGCGAGCGUGACGGCGCGAGCAGGUGCGAAAGCAGGUCAUAGUGAUCCGGUGGUUCUGAAUGGAAGGGCCAUCGCUCAACGGAUAAAAGGUACUCCGGGGAUAACAGGCUGAUACCGCCCAAGAGUUCAUAUCGACGGCGGUGUUUGGCACCUCGAUGUCGGCUCAUCACAUCCUGGGGCUGAAGUAGGUCCCAAGGGUAUGGCUGUUCGCCAUUUAAAGUGGUACGCGAGCUGGGUUUAGAACGUCGUGAGACAGUUCGGUCCCUAUCUGCCGUGGGCGCUGGAGAACUGAGGGGGGCUGCUCCUAGUACGAGAGGACCGGAGUGGACGCAUCACUGGUGUUCGGGUUGUCAUGCCAAUGGCACUGCCCGGUAGCUAAAUGCGGAAGAGAUAAGUGCUGAAAGCAUCUAAGCACGAAACUUGCCCCGAGAUGAGUUCUCCCUGACUCCUUGA